rnacentral:rRNA from 1 species
AUUGAACGCUGGCGGCAGGCUUAACACAUGCAAGUCGAGCGGGGGAGGUUGCUUCGGUAACUGACCUAGCGGCGGACGGGUGAGUAAUGCUUAGGAAUCUGCCUAUUAGUGGGGGACAACAUCUCGAAAGGGAUGCUAAUACCGCAUACGUCCUACGGGAGAAAGCAGGGGACCUUUGGGCCUUGCGCUAAUAGAUGAGCCUAAGUCGGAUUAGCUAGUUGGUGGGGUAAAGGCCUACCAAGGCGACGAUCUGUAGCGGGUCUGAGAGGAUGAUCCGCCACACUGGGACUGAGACACGGCCCAGACUCCUACGGGAGGCAGCAGUGGGGAAUAUUGGACAAUGGGGGGAACCCUGAUCCAGCCAUGCCGCGUGUGUGAAGAAGGCCUUUUGGUUGUAAAGCACUUUAAGCGAGGAGGAGGCUACUGGUAUUAAUACUACCGGAUAGUGGACGCUACUCGCAGAAUAAGCACCGGCUAACUCUGUGCCAGCCGCCGCGGUAACAC